CUCUCUCUCAUCAUCACCAUCAUCCAACAAAAACCAGAAAACGAACGCUGCAAUCCAACAAAAUCGAAUUCUCUCUCUUGCUCUCUAAAAGAACAAAAAGAAGAGAGAAAAGAGAUCAAGAAUUUUUUACAUUCCUUUUUUUUCUUCCAAUUAUGAGGAGAAAGUGUAGAACGCUUGGAGGAAUUGCAGUUAUGGAGCUAGUUGACGCCGGUGUACAAACGAGUGCCAUGUCCGCAACUGGAACGGUUCAUAAGAAACGCAGAAGAUUGAACGACGACGAAGAGGCUGAAUAUAAUAAAGUAACUUCUUCAACGAACUCAAUUACGUCGUAUAUCCAGUUGAGAAGUCGGAGAAUUUUGGUAGAUCAUCAUCGUCGUGAAGGAAAUCCGUGUUUGAGCGCUAACUCGGAUCAUGAUGAUGAAGUGUCAUGCUCUUCUUGCAAAAUCGGAUCGAGCGAUGAAAGGAUCAAUGUAGAGUUGCCAGAUCUGGAGGACGACAGUAUUGAAGUUGAAACAUUCACGCAUUUCAGCAGCAGCAGCGAGAGUAUGGGAGAAACAACGGCGUUGAGUGAUCUCCGAGCUGAACCAGAAUACCUGGAUUCAACGUCGAGGUCAUCGGAGACGAACUCUCGCCGUAGAUCAACGGUAGAGAAAAUGCCAACCGAAGCUGAACUCGAAGAAUUCUUUGCUCCUGCCGAGAAAAAACUUCAAAAACAAUUUGCAGAAAAGUAUAACUACGAUAUUGUGAAAGAUGAACCUUUGGGAGGGCGUUACGAGUGGAUCCGACUAAAGCCAUGAACAAAAAGUCGAGCAAUCGAUAAUUUAUUUAGGCCAGGCGAUUUAUCUUAGUAAUUUUUCUUUGGAUGUUAUCAUAAAACUGUUAAUUAAGAUGAAGGGGGACAAAAGAUGAAUGAAGAUAAGGAAAGAGUCGAUGGUGCCUGAUGUAGAGCAGAGAAGAUAGAACUGUACACGUGCCAUGCUAAGUGUGUGAGGAACACUUGUUUUGUAUUGGAAUCUUGAUAGUUGGUGCAAAUCUUAUCCCCAAAUCCCCAAUGUACGACCAUAAUUCAUUCCCGUUUUCUAUUGGAGUUUAUCGGUGGGUGGAAA